UGCAAGUCGAACGAUGAAGUGGCACUUGUGUCAUGGAUUAGUGGCGAACGGGUGAGUAACACGUGAGUAACCUGCCCCUGACUUCGGGAUAAGCCCGGGAAACUGGGUCUAAUACCGGAUACGACUCCUGCCCGCAUGGGUGGGGGUGGAAAGUUUUGUCGGUUGGGGAUGGGCUCGCGGCCUAUCAGCUUGUUGGUGGGGUAAUGGCCUACCAAGGCGUUUACGGGUAGCCGGCCUGAGAGGGCGACCGGCCACACUGGGACUGAGACACGGCCCAGACUCCUACGGGAGGCAGCAGUGGGGAAUAUUGCACAAUGGGCGCAAGCCUGAUGCAGCGACGCCGCGUGGGGGAUGACGGCCUUCGGGUUGUAAACUCCUUUCAACCAUGACGAAGCUUUUGUGACGGUAGUGGUAGAAGAAGCACCGGCUAACUAC
rnacentral:rRNA from 1 species